UCUAGAUUUGAGGUUUUGUUUUGGUUUGACGUUGACCGUCAAAAUUAAUUGUUUUUUCUUAUUAAUUGUAAGUUGUCAAUAUUUUAAAAGUUAGGAGCCAUCAACCCCACAACAAAAUGUGCACGAAUUUCAUCGAAUGUUUACCGUCAAAGUGAUUUAAAAUAAUACUAUGUAAGAAGCCAUACCUGAAGACUGUCAUUUGCAUGGCGUAACCAGUCUGUUUUAUCACAAUGAAGAUGGUAAAAAGCAGCUAUUAGAGUCUCAGAGGGACAUGUACAGAGAACAAGAUACAAAUAAUAGCUUUAUGACAGGAUGUAAAAUGAAUUCUGCAGUCCAUGGUACAUAUCUUAAUCUAACGGUACUAAACCUUCUGUUACAGCGUGGUGCUUCUAAACAUUGGUGUAUUUAUUGAUAUGAAAUGUAAAUGCAAAAUAAUGAGAUUCAACAAUAUCUCCCAAACGAUCAUCAUUUUAGACCAUCUUUCAGAUCAUUCUCUCUCUUAACUCAAGUACAAUAGUGCCCUUAAGUGACUUUAAAUAGUUUAAUAAAGGUUUAAGUAUUAAGAAGACCUGCAGAUAUAAAUGUUGAUCAAAUACGUACUACCUGCAGUAAAUUUAGCAAGCAAAGUACGUAGCUAAUUCUUGUCAAAUUAACAGGAAAGAUGUAAAAUGGAAUUCUUUCUAAGAUCUGUUGACAAUUUCUGAAAAUAUCCGCUUUUUUCAGAUGCAAUUAUCAACCAGUUUCCUUCAGCUUUAGAGAAAAUAAGUAAAAUGUAAAGCUUUAUGGGAAGCUUUAACAAUUUUUGAAAAUCUCAGUCGUAAACUGUUACUGAAAUAGCUAAAGAAAAGGGCAUUUUUUAAAAUGGAAGUUUUUACCCUAUUCCUUCAAAUUUACACAAAAUAAGUAAAAUGUAAUGCUAUUUUUAUAAACAGAUAAUUAAAUAGACAAAGAAACUUU
rnacentral:lncRNA from 1 species